AUAAUAAGAAUUAAUAGGUUUACUCAGUGAAACAACUUCUGCUAUUGUCAGCUCACGACCGACAUUGUCCUUGCAGAUACACCUGCAUCCUGCGCCUCUCUUCCGAACGGCCCCAGAUACAGCUAACGUUCUGUCUACCUAGGCGCGGGUCAAUCCACUUCACAGUCAAGGUCUCAAGGAUGACAUGAGCUGGGAAGAAGCCCUCAGGCGCUGGGCCGCGCCAGCCACUCCAACAGGGAGCUGGAAUCUUUAGGACAGAAUAUGCUGCAUCACGGCGGACGUGGAGUCAAAGCCCUGGACUGGGCUCAAGUCCCCGGGAGCCGUCCCCAGAACGGUGCGACCUCAACCAGAACACCCACCGACCAGCAGGCUAUUCGCCUCCUCCGUAAAAUCGAAAGUGCCGUCACUGCUUCCGAGGAACAGACUGUGGUGCCUCCAGGCCAAAGAACAUGAUGAGGCGAUAAGAAGAACUGAGCGCUCGAGCUGCAAAGCGACGUAGAGGGACGUCAGUGCGUGCCGCUUAGUGAAAGAAGCCGAUGGAAAAGUCUGCAGACGGCACGGCCGCAACGCUGACAUUGUGGAAAAUGCGAACCUACAGCGACAGCGGAAGGUCGGGAGUCGGCGGGGGGAGAAGAGGGUCUUUGGGGCGGUGAGGUUGCCCUGCCUGAUACUGAUGGCAGGCCCACGACCUCCCACGUAAACCUAAACUUUCAGGUUCUGCACACCUCAAAUUGCCCUAAAAGUAAAAAUCUAGCUACGCCACAUCGGCAGCAGUGCGGGGGUCGGGCUGGGGGCAGGUCUGGACACAGGCUUUGCUCUGAUUUUCCGGUCACAACACGGGAUUUCAUCAACUCUCA